CAGAAAAUAAUAUAUAAUUUGUAUAUAAAUUUUGGAGAUUUAAAGAGAAUAAUUUCUUUUCUGA
rnacentral:tRNA from 1 species